GUCGGUGAAGUGUUACGGUAGCACGUCAGUCUCCAAAACUGAAAGCCGGGGUUCGACUCCCUGCACCGAUGCCA
rnacentral:tRNA from 1 species